rnacentral:rRNA from 1 species
GACGAACGCUGGCGGCGUGCUUAACACAUGCAAGUCGAGCGGAAAGGCCCUUUCGGGGGUACUCGAGCAGCGAACGGGUGAGUAACACGUGAGUAAUCUGCCCUUGGCUUUGGGAUAACUACCGGAAACGGUGGCUAAUACCGGAUACGACUGCUCCCGGCAUCGGGGGUGGUGGAAAGUUUUUCGGCCAGGGAUGUGCUCGCGGCCUAUCAGCUUGUUGGUGGGGUAAUGGCCUACCAAGGCUUCGACGGGUAGCCGGCCUGAGAGGGUGACCGGCCACACUGGGACUGAGACACGGCCCAGACUCCUACGGGAGGCAGCAGUGGGGAAUAUUGGACAAUGGGCGGAAGCCUGAUCCAGCAACGCCGCGUGAGGGAUGACGGCCUCGGUUGUAACCUACUUCUAGUACCGACGAAGCGCCGAUGAUGGUGGUGACGGUAGGUGCGAG